AGAGUUUGAUCCUGGCUCAGGAUGAACGCUAGCUACAGGCUUAACACAUGCAAGUCGAGGGGCAGCAUGAACUUAGCUUGCUAAGUUUGAUGGCGACCGGCGCACGGGUGAGUAACACGUAUCCAACCUGCCGAUGACUCGGGGAUAGCCUUUCGAAAGAAAGAUUAAUACCCGAUGGCAUAGUUCUUCCGCAUGGUAGAACUAUUAAAGAAUUUCGGUCAUCGAUGGGGAUGCGUUCCAUUAGGUUGUUGGCGGGGUAACGGCCCACCAAGCCUUCGAUGGAUAGGGGUUCUGAGAGGAAGGUCCCCCACAUUGGAACUGAGACACGGUCCAAACUCCUACGGGAGGCAGCAGUGAGGAAUAUUGGUCAAUGGACGAGAGUCUGAACCAGCCAAGUAGCGUGAAGGAUGACUGCCCUAUGGGUUGUAAACUUCUUUUAUAAAGGAAUAAAGUCGGGUAUGCAUACCCGUUUGCAUGUACUUUAUGAAUAAGGAUCGGCUAACUCCGUGCCAGCAGCCGCGGUAAUACGGAGGAUCCGAGCGUUAUCCGGAUUUAUUGGGUUUAAAGGGAGCGUAGAUGGAUGUUUAAGUCAGUUGUGAAAGUUUGCGGCUCAACCGUAAAAUUGCAGUUGAUACUGGAUAUCUUGAGUGCAGUUGAGGCAGGCGGAAUUCGUGGUGUAGCGGUGAAAUGCUUAGAUAUCACGAAGAACUCCGAUUGCGAAGGCAGCUUGCUGGACUGUAACUGACGCUGAUGCUCGAAAGUGUGGGUAUCAAACAGGAUUAGAUACCCUGGUAGUCCACACAGUAAACGAUGAAUACUCGCUGUUUGCGAUAUACAGUAAGCGGCCAAGCGAAAGCGUUAAGUAUUCCACCUGGGGAGUACGCCGGCAACGGUGAAACUCAAAGGAAUUGACGGGGGCCCG
rnacentral:rRNA from 1 species